CAUAUAUAUAUAUGUGUGUGUGUGUGUGUGUGUGUAUAUAUAUAUAUACACACACACACACACAUAUAUAUAUAUAUAUG